GUGGGGAAUUUUGGACAAUGGGCGCAAGCCUGAUCCAGCAAUGCCGCGUGCAGGAAGAAGGCCUUCGGGUUGUAAACUGCUUUUGUACGGAACGAAACGGUCCUGGCUAAUACCCGGGGCUAAUGACGGUACCGUAAGAAUAAGCACCGGCUAACUACGUGCCAGCAGCCGCGGUAAUACGUAGGGUGCGAGCGUUAAUCGGAAUUACUGGGCGUAAAGCGUGCGCAGGCGGUGCUGUAAGACAGGCGUGAAAUCCCCGGGCUCAACCUGGGAAUUGCGCUUGUGACUUGAGUGCUAGAGUGCGGCAGAGGGGGAUGGAAUUCCGCGUGUAGCAGUGAAAUGCGUAGAUAUGCGGAGGAACACCGAUGGCGAAGGCAAUCCCCUGGGCCUGCACUGACGCUCAUGCACGAAAGCGUGGGGAGCAAACAGGAUUAGAAACCCGGGUAGUCC
rnacentral:rRNA from 1 species